CGUCAUGGCAACACCGCAUCGUCCCACCCUCAUCCCUUUGCCACGCCCACCGGCUUGUACGUCUGGGGCCCGCCGGGCUUCGAUUGGUCCGUCUGGCUCUUACUCUGAGAGACGUUCGGGCCCGCGAGGCUCUGGACUCACGUUUGAAUUUGUGGCGCGUAGUGUCCGAGGUGCGGAGUGGAGCUGGGCGUCUUGCUGGAGUCAGCAACUGGGCGGUGAGAGACCCUGAGCGGAGAAUGACCAGAGGGUCGGCCGGCGCUGGAGGGGCCCCGAGUCCAACAGGCCUCCUCGGAAUGCGGCACUUCCACCGCGCUGCUUCCCUCGCCUGAGGCAGGUCCUCUGCUCGCCUCCUCGCAGCCUCUAGAUUCUUCCCUCGCGCCGUUUUCCUCGCGUCUGAGAGACUGUGCGCCCGCCCGCUUCUGUCACCCCCGAAGGAAGGCUGCUCCUAACGCUACCUUCCGGGGUCUCUCCGCUUCCAUCCCUCCCCAGAAGCAGCCCUCCAGCGCUGACGUGUUUACGUCUCCCCCCACUAUCCUGCGCCCCCCCAUCUCUGUCAUAAUUACAGCCUCCUUCCAUCACCAACACUCUCAGAAACUUUCUCCCUGCCUCUGACUGUGGAAAAAUGUCUCCUGAGCAACCUGGUGAGCGUCCCACACCUCAGAGUCCAGAACGUUCCUCAUCAAGAAAGAGGGUGCUGCGGUCCUCCCCUUCCCGCCUGGGACGUAGCGAGGGCACGUGGAAAGCAGCGCGUGAAAGCGCUUUGCAAAGCGACUCUGUUGAUAUAGAGAAGUUUCGUCUUGGGGUUAUGACUGCUGUCCAGAUCUUAAAGCAAGAAAGCCGGAGGUAUUGUCUCCAUUUUACAAAUGAGGAACCUGAAGCUCAGAGAGACCAAUACAUUCUCAAACUUAAAACAUCAGAGAGUAGAAGGAUAUAUGGUGAAAAUCUCUCUUUCGUGUUGCAUCUCCUUCAUUCUUCCACUUUCAACCCCCUUUCCCCCAUAAAACAGGGCAUGUGUAUAAAAUUCAAAUAUCACAAGACUAAAAAGAAAUGAUCCAGUUUCUUCCUCUAAAGCAGAAUGACAACACGUCUUUAUCUCAUCACAAAGUAUCAUGAUGAGGGUGAUGUACUCCAAUUGUGAUAAAUCAUGUCAGAAAUAAAAUAGCUUAUCUCUAAACUUUAAGUGUAUUUGCACCUUAAUUUUGAGACAGUGGGAAUCAUCUGCAAAUGUUGUAAGUGAUCAGCUAACGUGUUCUCCAUUGGAAAUAACAUGUUCUCCAUUGGAAGCAAAGAUAACUAUGUAUCUUAGCUAAUUACAGACCACCAAACUUAGGGAUGUUUGUAGAUCAUUAUAGCUGAGAAGGAAUAAUAAGAAGGAACACUAACUAAAUUGCACAAAAGAAAUGAAUUCUCAUCAUUAUAACCAAGUGUUUGUUAUUGACUGCCUUCUCUCCUCUUCUUCUCCACCUCCUCAUCUCCCUAUACCUCUUUCCAUUUCAGGAGGAGUGCACAUUUUUAUGAUUUUUUUCUCUAAUCAAGCUCCAUUCUCUCUUAAGUGAGCAAUG
rnacentral:lncRNA from 1 species